rnacentral:rRNA from 1 species
CCUACGGGAUGCAGCAGUAGGGAAUAUUGGGCAAUGGGCGCAAGCCUGACCCAGCCAUGCCGCGUGCAGGAUGACAGCCCUACGGGUUGUAAACUGCUUUUAUACGGGAAAAAACCCCCGGACGUGUCCGGGGCUGAUGGUACCGUAGGAAUAAGCAUCGGCUAACUCCGUGCCAGCAGCCGCGGUAAUACGGAGGAUGCAAGCGUUAUCCGGAUUUACUGGGUUUAAAGGGUGCGCAGGCGGGACAAUAAGUCAGUGGUGAAAUCUUUCGGCUCAACCGAAAAACUGCCAUUGAUACUAUUGUUCUUGAGUACAGUUGAAGUGGGCGGAAUGUAGCAUGUAGCGGUGAAAUGCAUAGAGAUGCUACAGAACACCGAUAGCGAAGGCAGCUCACUAAAGUGUAACUGACGCUCAGGCACGAAAGCGUGGGGAUCAAACAGGAUUAGAUACCCCAGUAGUCC